UGGCGAGUAGCUCAGAGGUAGAGCGCUAAAACAUCCUUAUUUCACAACUUGUCGAAACGGGAAAACCCCCAAGGGCCGAAGAAUUGAGGAUUACCGACUCAUAAGCGGGAGGUCGCGGGUUCGAGUCCUGCCUCGCCAC
rnacentral:tRNA from 2 species